GAGAACCUGUACAGUUAGACUUGGAAAAAUACAGUACACCGUUUACAUUUCUCCCUAGUAUGGACUUGUUUUACUUCUAGUAAGACUGACAUCACAGAGCAAGACAGAUUGGAUUUUAAAAAGAAAGGACCUAAGCAUAAGAAAUCAGGACAGAAACUCUGGCUUGUUGAAAAGCCUUCCAUUUAGUGGAAACCUCUGGUGCAGUGGUGUCAGGUGGGGCGGGCUGCCCCCUUGGGACCAAGCACGUCAGUGACCUAAAUCAUUCACGUGCUAUGAAUACACUCCUGUGCACUCUUCAGUUCCACUCCACCCGCCCGGCUGAAGUGAGGCCUGAAGAUUUGUGAAGCCUGUUUCUACAGGGAGACUUUGCCCCAUCACAUACCUUGGUAGAUUUAUUUAAGACUUCAAAUUUUAUGAAUUAAGGUGUUUUUUUUAG
rnacentral:lncRNA from 1 species